GGCCUGGUUGCCUAAGUGGUAGGGGUUACGCUUGUCCGGGGGACCGGGUUGUGCGGAGGACCGCUGGUUCGAAUCCAGCCUGUGCUC